AACACAAUUUUAAAAAAGAAAUUAUUAACAUAACACAAUUUAAAAAAAAGGAAAUUAUCUAUGAGCCCUUUGAGUGUGUGUGUGUGUGUGUGUGUAUUUGACCAUCAUCCUUGUCAAAGCCUAUUGGCCAAACACUACCCGGAACAAAGCUGUAGUCAAAAAAGUUGGCUUUAGAGAGAGUGGGAAGUCCGGCUUGCGAGCUGGUACCUUUGUUUCGCACGCGACAAAAGAAUGAUUUAAAAAUGGGUGAUGUUGAGAAGAGCAAGAAGAUUUUUGUUCAGAAGUGUUCCUAGGGCCAUAUUGUGGAGAAGGGAGGCAAGAGCAAGACUGGGACAAAUCUCCAUGGGUUUAUUUGGGCGAAAGACAGGUCAGGCCCCUGGAUUUUCUUACACAGAUGCCAACAAGAACAAAGGCAUCACCUGGGGAGAGUAGAUACUGAUGAGUAUUUGGAGAAUCCCAAGAAGUACAUCCCUGGAGCAAAAAUGGUCUCCACUGGCAUUAAGAAGACAGGGGAAAGAGCAGACUUGAUAACUUAUCUCAAAAAAGCGACUAAGGAGUAAUAGUUGGCCAUUGCCUUAUUUAUUACAAAACAAAAAUGUCUCAUGACUUUUUUUUUAUGUGUACCACAUUUAAAUUGAUCUCAUAUACCAGAAUUCGGAUCAUGAAUGGCUGAUCGAAUAUUUCUUUUGGACAGUCCUGAUUUAAAUAAGAUUGGCUUGUGGUUAAAUGAAUAUGAUCAGCUUUUUGAACUUUGAUAGUAAGUCUGGUUCAGCAAGUGCUGCCACUGUUUUCCCCUCCUAAAAAUAUGAUUGGAAUUGACUAGUAAUGUUCAGCUUUUCACAGAGAUGGUAACUGCCAUCUCUAAACUUAGGGGAGACUGGUUUUGUAUUUAGAUUUAUAUAACUGGUUAUAUUGAUAUAUUUAAAGACUGAGGAAAUCCCUUCACUGUCUCAGAACAGCAAGACUCAGCUGUGUUUCAAGUUGUGUUCAUUAGCCUGUUAAAGGCAAGGGUUGAAGAUAAGCUCGUAGUGUCCACUUUAUCUUUUUGGUCUUAACCAUGCCAAUUUAAUUAAAAUUCCCUGCGU